AAGUCGUAACAAGGUUUCCGUAGGUGAACCUGCGGAAGGAUCAUUACCUUUCUGUCUAUUUAAUAGCUUGGUCGGGGGGCUAUAGUCUCUAUAGCCUCUGACUGAAUCCGUGUUUUUUACGUAUCUACAUGGUUCCUCGUGGCUGUCGCCGUUGGACAACUAAACUCUUGCAAUUGCAAUCAGCGUCUGAAUUAUUUAAUAAUUACAAU
rnacentral:misc_RNA from 1 species